rnacentral:rRNA from 1 species
GAGGAAUAUUGGUCAAUGGGCGAGAGCCUGAAUCAGCCAAGUAGCGUGCAGGAAGACGGCCCUAUGGGUUGUAAACUGCUUUUAUGUGGGGAUAAAGUGAGCUACGUGUAGUUUAUUGCAGGUACCACAUGAAUAAGGACCGGCUAAUUCCGUGCCAGCAGCCGCGGUAAUACGGAAGGUCCAGGCGUUAUCCGGAUUUAUUGGGUUUAAAGGGAGCGUAGGCCGUGGAUUAAGCGUGUUGUGAAAUGUAGACGCUCAACGUCUGAAUUGCAGCGCGAACUGGUUCACUUGAGUAUGCACAACGUAGGCGGAAUUCGUCGUGUAGCGGUGAAAUGCUUAGAUAUGACGAAGAACUCCGAUUGCGAAGGCAGCUUACGGGAGCACAACUGACGCUGAAGCUCGAAGGUGCGGGUAUCAAACAGGAUUAGAUACCCUGGUAGUCCGCACAGUAAACGAUGGAUGCCCGUUGUUAGUUCACUUAAGAAUUAGCGACCAAGCGAAAGCAUUAAGCAUCCCACCUGGGGAGUACGCCGGCAACGGUG